GUGUGUGGUGUGUGUGUGAUGUAGAUAAAACAUGACCGGGCUAAAACGGACAUGGCAGCAAGUCAAACUCAAAUACAAGAACAUUCUGCAGAAUGGUAAGGACCCUGACUAAUACUUAACAAUGCACAAGCAUAUAUUGUACCCAGAAGGUGCCUGCUCACACAUUGUCUGUACUGUUUUAGCAGUGAAAAAGAAUACACACAGACAAGGCACGGGUGGUGGGUCACCAAAAGCUGACCUCACCCCAGCAGAGGACAUAGCCUUGGAGCUAAAUAAAGGCAGGCCCGUGUUGGAGGGGAUCCCUGGGGGGAAAGAGACAAGCAUAGGUCCCUCCCAAGAUGCCACCCGCUUCAUACAAGUGUCUGGCAGCACUGUGUUACUGUUAGAGCCACCAGCACAAGCACCAGACGAUGCCGAUCCAGUGAGUACUCCAUCAAAGGCAUACUGUAGGCCUGGCAUGUCUUCUCUACUAGCUUCAAUAGGAAUCCGAUUAAAUGUGAUAGGGUGAAGGCCCCAGUGCAGCACCAACAGCACAUGACGGCUAUCAGCGCCUAUCACAAAGUGAACUCUCUGGUGUGUUGCUGGGAGACAGGGGGUAUGGCUGCCAGCCUUUUCUCCUGACACCUUUCACAGACCCCUGGGAAGCACAGCAGACCUACAAACAUGCCCAUGCCAGGACCAGGGCCAGAGUUGAAAUGACCUUUGGCCUCCUGAAGGUACGCUUUCACUGCCUUCACAAAUUAAGGGUCAGCCCUGUGAGGGCAUGUGACAUUACUGUGGCUUGUGCUGUCCUCCACAAUGUGGCCUGCCUGAGGAAGGAGAGGGCCCCCAGAGUGCCACCAGCCAUGGACUGGGACAAUCCGGCAAUCUUCCCUGAUGACGACUGUGGUCGACCGCUGAGGGAAUAAUAUGUGUUGAAUUAUUUUAGUUAGUAUGUGUGCUUUCAAUUUUGGUUAAAUAUGUCCUGCGAUGGCAAAGGAAUUUGGGUUUUUUUGUGUUCAAUUUUUUAAUUUUUUUUUAAAUUGAUUUGGCCUCUUAUGGUGUUUGUGCUGUAUACUGUGUGUAAUUUAAGCUUGCAGGGAGGCUACUGCAUCCAUUCAUUUGUCUGUUCAGUUGAUGUGUAUGGAUUUGUCCUGCAUUUAUUUCAGUGUGCAGACAUGCCGGGUGUGUUAUAUACAGACCUUUGAAUGUGUAUUUAUCCUUUUGUUGUAUAAUAUGCUUCG